rnacentral:rRNA from 1 species
UGGCUCAGGACGAACGCUGGCGGCGUGCUUAACACAUGCAAGUCGAACGAUGAUGCCCAGCCUUGCUGGGCGGAUUAGUGGCGAACGGGUGAGUAACACGUGAGUAACCUGCCCUUGACUUCGGGAUAACUCCGGGAAACCGGGGCUAAUACCGGAUAUGAGCCGCCUUCGCAUGGGGGUGGUUGGAAAGUUUUUCGGUCAGGGAUGGGCUCGCGGCCUAUCAGCUUGUUGGUGGGGUGAUGGCCUACCAAGGCGACGACGGGUAGCCGGCCUGAGAGGGCGACCGGCCACACUGGGACUGAGACACGGCCCAGACUCCUACGGGAGGCAGCAGUGGGGAAUAUUGCACAAUGGGCGAAAGCCUGAUGCAGCGACGCCGCGUGAGGGAUGAAGGCCUUCGGGUUGUAAACCUCUUUCAGCAGGGAAGAAGCGCAAGUGACGGUACCUGCAGAAGAAGCGCCGGCUAACUACGUGCCAGCAGCCGCGGUAAUACGUAGGGCGCAAGCGUUGUCCGGAAUUAUUGGGCGUAAAGAGCUCGUAGGCGGUUUGUCGCGUCUGGUGUGAAAACUCGAGGCUCAACCUCGAGCUUGCAUCGGGUACGGGCAGACUAGAGUGCGGUAGGGGAGACUGGAAUUCCUGGUGUAGCGGUGGAAUGCGCAGAUAUCAGGAGGAACCACCCGAUGGCGAAGGCAGGUCUUCUGGGCCGCAACUGACGCUGAGGAGCGAAAGCAUGGGGAGCGAACAGGAUUAGAUACCCUGGUAGUCCAUGCCGUAAACGUUGGGCACUAGGUGUGGGGCUCAUUCCACGAGUUCCGUGCCGCAGCAAACGCAUUAAGUGCCCCGCCUGGGGAGUACGGCCGCAAGGCUAAAACUCAAAGGAAUUGACGGG